CACACACACCGAGUGGGUGAGCCAAGUGAUGCAACAACAAAGCAAUCCAACACAUGCGCGGCUACUGCUCAUUUGUGUGUGUGAGAGACAUUAUAUGUGCUAAUUAACGAGUGAGGUGGUGACAAUGGGGUCUCAUUUGUUUUUCUACCUCUCAGGGUUCAAGAUGAGAUGGUGACAUUUUACUCCCCAAGCCGCACAGUUUCCCCUUCCUCGGACAGUGACAGCGGGUGGAGUCUCCGGCGACACACCUGCUGGCGACGAUCAUCAUCCGUGAGGGGCAGCUGCAACGGCGCGCCAGCAGACAGCGGUUUCCAAUCACGCUGCAGUGGAGGAUGAAACAGGUGGCGCCU